CUAAGGCCGCGUUAUGUUUCGGCGAGGAAAAGUGUCAGAAAAGUUUUGCAAAUUCUCUUCUGUAUAGUCGCUUCUGCAUCAUCAAACUUUGCAGAAUAGGAAAGAUGAUGCUUUAGGGUAUGUCUACGCAUUGCUAAAUAUACCAUAGUCAGUAGACGUUCUGCAUUCCCUAGAGACCACAUUUUCUGAAGACACAUUUGCUAUUGUAUAGAAAUGUACGGUGCGCACACGAGGACAAAGUGAAGUUUGGUCGUCCA